CCAGACUCCUACGGGAGGCAGCAGUAGGGAAUCUUCGGCAAUGGGGGGAACCCUGACCGAGCAACGCCGCGUGAGUGAAGAAGGUUUUCGGAUCGUAAAGCUCUGUUGUUAAGGAAGAACGAGUGUGAGAAUGGAAAGUUCAUACUGUGACGGUACUUAACCAGAAAGGGACGGCUAACUACGUGCCAGCAGCCGCGGUAAUACGUAGGUCCCGAGCGUUGUCCGGAUUUAUUGGGCGUAAAGCGAGCGCAGGCGGUUAGAAAAGUCUGAAGUGAAAGGCAGUGGCUCAACCAUUGUAGGCUUUGGAAACUGUUUAACUUGAGUGCAGAAGGGGAGAGUGGAAUUCCAUGUGUAGCGGUGAAAUGCGUAGAUAUAUGGAGGAACACCGGUGGCGAAAGCGGCUCUCUGGUCUGUAACUGACGCUGAGGCUCGAAAGCGUGGGGAGCGAACAGGAUUAGAUACCCUGGUAGUCCACGCCGUAAACGAUGAGUGCUAGGUGUUAGGUCCUUUCCGGGACUUAGUGCCGCAGCUAACGCAUUAAGCACUCCGCCUGGGGAGUACGACCGCAAGGUUGAAACU
rnacentral:rRNA from 1 species